AUUGCACAAAUUAAUCUUCAGAUAGGGGCAUGUCAUACAAGAAUUUACAUGCUUGCACUUUAAUUGUCAGAAGCUAGUUUCUAUUAGGCAGAGGGACUGUGAAUGGGUAACAGCAUUUCCCAUUAGUGGAGGGAAAAGGAAAAAUUAAGGCUGACGGUGUGAAUAAAUCCACAAAGAAAUGAUCUGGGCAUGUCUGCUCCAAGGAGGUGGUGGUUUUGGUGGAGAUUUCCAAGACAUCUCUAAACUGGCUCACAUUUGCUGGUCCUUGUACACCUUGAGAAGGAAGAAACUCUGGAUCUGAUUUGCUACUAUGUGAUAAUUCCAAGUAUAGCAUGGAAGAAUGAUCAUGUUUGUGGCUGAAGAGAUGUCAUCCAGUGUCCUAUGGUAUUCAUAAUGGCUGGAAGAUUUGUAAGCUGCAGAAGACAAAUAGAUCGUCAUCAAUGGAAAGUUAGAAGCAUGAACCACGUGUUGGGCCUUGAAUGGGACACUCUCUUCUGCUGCAAUCAGCCCUAUCUUUCCAAUGAAUUCAGUGGUAAUGAUUUGAGACUGGGGAGUUGAUUUGCAUGGAAGAGACCUCCAAUUGCAUGCAUGCAUGGACAAAAGAUGGUUGAACUGUGUAGAAUUGUGUAUUAAACUCAUGCUCACUUGAGAGGGAAAAGCUGCAAAAUUUGGAUUCAAGAUGGGAUCCUUCAAAAGAUCAGCAAAUUAUCAACCAGAGACCAUGGAAAAUUUUCCCAGAUCUCACAAUAGUGUACCUCAACAUAUUGAGCUGAAUAAGAAAUAACUGACCCCCAGAGAAAUAGUAAAUAUUGCUAAAUUUACUUGCUGCCUGCCACCAGCAACAGAUCAACACAAGAAGAAAAUCCUAAUUUAUUUUUUUAAAUGAAAAUUGAAAGCAAAAGGCUGUUGCCACCGUUUCUCCAGGAGAGACUGAUGAAUGACUCUGACACUGUUCGUAUAUGGAUUUUAGAUGCAAUUACAACUGAAAGAGAGAAAAGCCAAGCAAGGCAGACACGGACAGUAAUACUGCAUCUGUCAGUCACAAAGAUGAGCUGCUCACCUCUAGCUUUAACCAAAUUAACACAUCAGUGACUCAUGCAUUACUUCGGGACUUUAAUUCAUAGCUUGACAAACCAUAAACAAGAAACCAGUGUACAGAUUUCAUAUUUUUUCAAUAAAUGUUUCAAAGGCAGCUGGAGUCAGUGAAUAGCCCAAGUGAUGCAGUAGAUGUGUUUGCAGUGGCAGAAUAUCCCAAAUCCUGUGAUACGUUGGGGUUUCCUACCAUACAGAGGUAGGCCAGGAGGUAACGUACAGAAACACAUAAAGACAAAACACAGCUUUUGAUUUGGGUUUAGGAUUGGCCCAGAGUCAACCUAAAAAACUCUUCAUUUGUUUUGCUGUGGUAAAACUGUAUAGAAGGUGAAUCCAGAAGAUAAACUUUUAACAAUUUUGGAUCUGAAACAAAAUCCAGACCUCAAAGAUUGGCUCCGUCCCAAAGAUUCACGUCAGCUUCUGCUUUCAUCAGAAAGUCAGAGUGGGAGGCUGAGAUCCUGCUCUGGAUCUUUAUUCAUGUGAAGGCACUAGGGAAGAUAAGAAUCCACUGAACAUCUAAUCGAGAAUCUUUGGAAAUCUUGUUUACCCUUCUUUCUCAUUUCUGCCUUUUUAACCCUCUGAAAGAUCUUGUCCUUGGCACUGUAAUCUGACUGUUGACUUCAGUGGAUUUAUCAUGGUUUAUGCUAGGUUAAAAGAUCUGGACUUUUAUUUAAUCCAUGCUAAAUACCGUUUUCAAAUAAAGAUCAUAGAAACAGACAUUGCUUUUGGAUUAGCAGCCUUUUGAAGUAAGCUGUGAAGCUCCAUGUGAACAGUACAAAAAUGAACCUUCCCAUAAAAGUCUGGAUCCAGUUCUAUGUUGAAAUUCUAAUCUAUUUCCCUUCGAAAUCCAUAAUUGUUCAACUUCGAAGAUAUUGCAUCACUUUAAUUAGUGCUGGAAACAAUCAUUUCACCCAGUUAAUUUAAUUUGUCUUUGAAAGUAUAAUAAAGUACUAUCUAAUAAUAAACUACGUGCUUAUCAUCUGACCAACCUUCUAGCUAAAAUACUGUUUACUGAUCUACCGAUCUACUGAUCUGGCUUUGCUUUAAACAAUAACAUCUAAAUAUAAACACUGAUUCUUCCACUUGAUCUCCUACACAUUUGAUUUUAUGUAGGUCAUGAAUGAUGCCAGUAAGGACGGGCUUUAAAGCAUUUAAAUAAAAUAAAGGUAGAGAAGCAUGUGGGAGAAUAAGAAUGUUGCCCAGCAGUUGCAGUAUGUGGGCUAAUAAUUUCAGUCAGCGCAAUGUGUCAUAGUUAGCUGUCCAUGAGGCAGGUGUAUUGUGCAGAAAACUAAAGACCAGAAGACCCAUCAGUACCUAGCUGGCCAUUUCUAAGGCAGUGAAUAGGUUUACUCAUAGAAGUACCUACAUCAAAGUAUUAUGUGAACAGCGGUCUAGAAAGGAUGUGAAAUGAAGUUCAAAGUGGCUCUCUUUUUCCAUGUGAUGAGUCCAAGCGAUUGAAUCCCCACCAUGCUGAAGUUUCUGGUAAAACCCCAGUAUCUUAUUAAAUACAGGCACCCAUGACUUGUGCUGACAGUUCAGUAUGUCAGUAAUCAACGAAUUGCAAUUACUUCUCAGUUGUGCACCUCCUUCUGUGUAAUAGGAGCUGAACAGUUAUGAGGAAAAUUAUUUGGCAGCAAAACACCAACACACCUGAGAAACCAUGGGAAAGUCCAGUAAGUCCUAGAAGUGGUACUACCUGGCCAGCCUCUACCUCUCAGAACAGGAGAUGCAGCAAUAUCAGGACAGAUUCCCUGAACCCCAUGGUCAGAAAAAAAUAUUAUGCCAUCUCAUCUUUGUUUCCUGCUGCCAAACCUCCCUUCAUUAAAGGAGGUUUGAUUUCAAAAAUGAGCAGUCACAUAUGAGGCUCGUGUAGAGCCCAACGUGAAGGAGGUAUCACAUACAAAAGCUGGUUCCAGAUACUUGAGGAAAAGUGGGUUGGUUUUGUAGGUUAACUCUUUGAACAAAAACCAGGAUUUCUGGCAACAAUAAUCAAGACACUGUGGAAUUUGUGCAUUUGAGGGAAUUUGUCACUCUUGCAGCAGACAAGCAAAGUGCAAGACCCCGGUAACACUCUCAGACUUACUCAUGGUGAGGUAGAACUUGGCCUUGUGUGCAAGACAGAUCGAUGUCUCUAUAAGACUGUCCCUGAAAACACCUCUGAAAGAACAUUUUGGUUGUCUUUGGAACAACAUAUCAAGAAAAAAAAAAAAAGAGCAAACCACAGUUCUCUGUGGCUUGAGGGUCACCCAGAAUCUGUUCCCACAGUUCUAUUUAGCUAAUGAAGUCAUACAAACCCUGCACAAAGUGGCACUGGUGACCCCUGUGUCUCUGGAUGCCAAACUUUAAAGGUAACACGAUAACGGUUUUGGAUGUAGAAACAAAGAAGUCUAUGUGCAACCACAUAAGCAGGAGAAUGACAAACAAAGAUGCUAUAGAAUGGAAAUAGAUAAUUUCAGGCAAGGAGAAUGUAAAGUAAUCGCUCCUGCCAGUUCCACUGCUCAUUAUCAUGCGGGCUUGGCUUUCUGUCCUUCUUCUCUACUUUUCCACCUUUUAUACCCAAUAAAGAGAUUUGUUUUGUAACAUAGAGCAAAAACACAUAAACAAAAGCUACUAAUUCCCCCCAAUUUUCACAUAGAAUCAAACAAACAAGUAUUCUGCUUGGGGCUGUGAGAUAUACUGUCCUCUAGCAUUUGAAGCUUUGACAUAAGAUACUCCAAGAAUGUCUCAUUCAACAUUUAUUUUCUCUCCCUAUUUGUGUGACAAAUGCUUGUCUUUCUUUUUCUUUCUUUUUCCCUUUCAUUGUCUUUUUUAUCUUCCAUUCUUUUUUCCCUUCUUUCCUGGUUAUUCUCUCACUUCCUUUAUUUUUGUCUGAACAUUUAAAAGAAUGGUUUAAAAAAAUAAUAAUUUCCAUAUAUUUAUAGGUAAUUUGUGUUGAACUUGAAAAUAUGUCAAAUCUUCAAUGGCAGAAAUGACUGUGAAUUGAGUUUUGAAUGCAAAGGAGAACAGUUCCCUUGAAUUCAGAAUAAUUACAGAAAAAUUAGCUUUCUCAAGUAUGUCAGAGGACUAGAAAGAUAUAAAUUUUAACACUAGUUUUGUAAGUUUGCAGGUACACCAGUGUAACUAACAAAUGAAAAUAGACUAAAACGGGAAAUCUGAUAAUUCUAUUGUUUUUAUAUAGAGAUAUAAAUUGUAUAUAUUGUUGAAUAUAAACAUCUUUGCAAAGUAAUAUAAGGUAAAGGGAAUAAAAAUGUUUAUCCACUUUGUGUGUUUUUUUUUUUUUUUUGAAAUUGCAGUAGUUUAUGUUUUCAAGUCACAAGUAUGCACUAAAAUAUACUUUUUCCAUGAAAGCUGUGUUUUUUAUUUUUUAAUGUGCUUAUCUUUAGAGCUGUCAUCCCUAGUAAGGAAUUGUUGCCAUACCCAUUUUACAGCUGGAGACCUGGGACAUGGAAACACUCAUGCAGCACCUCGCUAGUGCUGAACCACACAGGUGAGCCCCAAGGCCAAGUGGUGCAACCUGACUCAUGCCCACAUGCCUUACUUUCCCUCCCAGAAAAAUUAAAAGAAAAGAAAAAAAACCUCCACAAGGUUGCUGCAUCCAAAUAGCCUAUUGAGAACAAUGCUUGGCUUGUGCCGUCUCACAAUUUAUGUCUGAACAUUAGCUGGGAGAGUUUUAGCUGUUGUAUCCCAGGGCUGUGCCAUGAAGUAUGGUGAUGGGUGGACUGAAUAGACCAGGGGUGUCUAAUUCUCACUGGGAGCCACAUGAACAUCGUGAUUGCCUUCAAGGGACUAAAUGCAAUAUUAGGACUGUAUAAAUGUAACUGGAAUAGACUAUAAGCAGCUGCAUUCUACCUCAUCUUGCUGCAGCUGGUUCAAUGGCACAAGCACAACCACAGGUGGUGCCAGAGAAAGCAAGAUUCGGGUAUUCAAGACCCAAACUGCUAUUCCAAACUCUGAAUAACCAUAGAAU